rnacentral:tRNA from 1 species
GCGGGUGCGCCGACUCGGGAAGGUCGACAGCGGCUGCAAACCGCCUGCUUCGCGCCUAGGGGGGUUCGGCUCCCUCCACCCGCA